CGCCAGACUCCUACGGGAGGCAGCAGUGGGGAAUAUUGCACAAUGGGGGAAACCCUGAUGCAGCGACGCCGCGUGAGUGAAGAAGUAUUUCGGUAUGUAAAGCUCUAUCAGCAGGGAAGAAAAUGACGGUACCUGACUAAGAAGCCCCGGCUAACUACGUGCCAGCAGCCGCGGUAAUACGUAGGGGGCAAGCGUUAUCCGGAUUUACUGGGUGUAAAGGGAGCGUAGACGGCAUGGCAAGUCAGAUGUGAAAGCCCGGGGCUCAACCCCGGGACUGCAUUUGAAACUGUCAGGCUGGAGUGCAGGAGAGGUAAGUGGAAUUCCUAGUGUAGCGGUGAAAUGCGUAGAUAUUAGGAGGAACACCAGUGGCGAAGGCGGCUUACUGGACUGUAACUGACGUUGAGGCUCGAAAGCGUGGGGAGCAAACAGGAUUAGAUACCCGCGUAGA
rnacentral:rRNA from 1 species